GAUGAACGCUAGCGGCAGGCUUAAUACAUGCAAGUCGUGGGGCGAGCAGGGGUAGCAAUACCCGCUGGCGACCGGCAAACGGGUGCGGAACACGUACGCAACCUUCCUUUAACUGGAGAAUAGCCCCUCGAAAGAGGGAUUAAUACUCCGUAACAUAUAGAUGUGGCAUCACAAUCAUAUUAUAGCUCCGGCGGUUAAAGAU
rnacentral:rRNA from 1 species